CUGGCAAGCCCCGAGGCAGGGAUGGCCGGCCCAGGAGGGAGGAGGACGACGUCCCUCCCGGGGAGAAGAGGCUGCGGCUGUUGCUGGAGGGGGGAAGAGCACAGCCCUAGGACUGCGAGGACGGGGAGGACGCGCCGCGGCCGGGCAGGGAGGAGACCGGCACCCAGACAGGUGGCGACGGCAGAGGAGAUUACUGUCCACAAACAAACAAACAGCACCAAAACUCCCAACAAUAAGAACAACAGAAAUCCCACCUAAGGCACCAAAGGCUUGGUGAGCAUGGAUGCAUGGCAAAACUGCCUCCUGAAGGCCAGAAGAAAGGAUUUCUCUCCUGUUUUCACCCACUCCCUGUGCCUCCUGACUGACCCCGGUGCUUCCCCCAUGGCUCUGCAGAUCUUGGUGUGCCCACUCCUCUUGGGAACUAACAGAGGGAAUUUCCUGGAAGGCAGGGUCUGUGUUCAUCUCCCACAGAGCAUAGAGCACAGUGGAUGCUGAGGAAAUGGUGAAUGCUGGAAAGGAGCAACAGGAUGCCAAGGCCAGAAGUUCACCUUUGUGACCAAACUGGCUGAAACUGGUGAGAUGCAAGACGGCAGCUCACUUGACCUCCAAAGAACCUCUAACUUCAUUAUAAUAUAAUUUCCUUGCUAAAUGACACUCCCAUCAGUGUCAUGACAGUUGACAUUGCCAUGACAAUGGCCAGAAGAAACCAUAAAGGGACAAAAAGGAAGGUAGUAACUCUGGUUCCAAGGAGUUCUCCCAUUUCCAGAAAAGACAUGGAUAUUCCUCCCCUUGCUUUUAAUGCCCAACUUUUUCAUUAAAGAUGAAGCCUGUAUCUAUGGUUUCCCAGCUCUCAGGAGCUGAGAAGUUGAUUUGUGAGCCAAACUCCCACUUCUCAAUAAAGGCCGUCGAAUAAAGCAUGCACUGUUUCAUGCUUACUUUUGGGUUCGUGUAUUGGCUUCACAGCACAGAACAGGAAAAGGCUCCAUCUUCUGGGGGACAGGCUUUGUUGGUAACAAAAGGACUGGCCCAGAGUCAGAGUUAGGAAGUGAUAAAGCCAGGUGUCUGCC
rnacentral:lncRNA from 1 species